CCUACGGGAGGCUGCAGUGAGGAAUAUUGGUCAAUGGGCGUAAGCCUGAACCAGCCAAGUCGCGUGAGGGAUGAAGGUUCUAUGGAUUGUAAACCUCUUUUGUCAGGGAGCAAAGGGCGCCACGUGUGGCGUUUUGCGAGUACCUGAAGAAAAAGCAUCGGCUAACUCCGUGCCAGCAGCCGCGGUAAUACGGAGGAUGCGAGCGUUAUCCGGAUUUAUUGGGUUUAAAGGGUGCGCAGGCGGAAUGUCAAGUCAGCGGUAAAAUUUCGGGGCUCAACCCCGUCGUGCCGUUGAAACUGGCGUUCUUGAGUGAGCGAGAAGUAUGCGGAAUGCGUGGUGUAGCGGUGAAAUGCAUAGAUAUCACGCAGAACUCCGAUUGCGAAGGCAGCAUACCGGCGCUCAACUGACGCUCAUGCACGAAAGCGUGGGUAUCGAACAGGAUUAGAUACCCGGGUAGUC
rnacentral:rRNA from 1 species